AAUAAUAGAUCCGUGCAAUCUUUGGCUUUUCAAUUUCCUAUCAACUCUUUUAACAUAAUUUUCUCUCUCUCCUUUAUUAUCAUUCUCCUCUUUUAUCAUUCUCACCUCCCAUCCUUUUGCUCUCUACUGCCAACCUAAAGUUCAUCUUUUGAUGUCUUCUUGUCAUGCUCUUGCUCCCAUCGUUCAGAUAUGGGGAGUUGAAGACACUCUUUCUCUUCGAACAAGCUUUUAAGUUUUACGAAUUAGCCUCCGAUUCAUCCGUUGAUCAGAAACAAAGGAUGAACAAAUAUGAAGAAAAAAGAAAAAAAGAUGGAGAGAGAAAACCAACCUUCCAAUGAAGCAGUUAAGCAGAGAACCGACAGAAGAAGAUGGCACUAACGAUAGAUUCAAGCUCUGCUAUAAGGGUAAGGGGUCUGAUUAUCCAGAAUAGCCAGCAGAUGCAUUUUGUUAUUGCUCGUUCUGUUUCUGUGCGAGUGUCCAAUGUGCUAAUUUCUUCCCCAGGAGACAGUCCUAACACUGAUGGAAUAAACAUCAGUGAAUCAAUGAAUGUUGUUCUCCUGGACUGUAAAAUUGGAAUAGGGGAUGAUUGUAUUUCAAUCGUCAAUGCCAGUUCAACUACCAAAAUGAAAAAAAAAUUAUUGUGGUCUUGGGCAUGGAAUUAGCAUACGAAGCCUUGGGAAGGAUAAUUCACCUGGCAUUGUCUCAAAAGUUGUCCUGAAUGGUCUGUUUACAAGGAAUGCGAGUAAUGGGGUCAAGAUUAAGACUUGGCAGGUAAGUCAUGUUUUGAGGAGAUACAUAUACUUUUUCAAACUCAACCCCUCUUCCCACCCACCCACCCUCCCCCCCUCCCCCCCUCCCCCUUUGCAAGUGGUAAUUAUUAGACUUAUGGUCAAUCUCCUACCUAAGCCUAAUUUUGCAUGUGCUGCAAGUUGCUCUUAAUAUGUUUCAAGACUUUGCUAAUCAUAAUUUUGCAUAUGCAUGUUUUCUAGUUAUGAGAAAUAAUGUGAAGUGAUUUCCUGAACAUGUAUUCACGUGAUAUUAGUCAUGAGAAGAAUUUUAUUUUUUAUUAUGUGAUCUUAAAUUCUUGGUAGUUGGUAUAACUAGAUAACUUGUUAACACUUAAGUUUUGUUAGUUGUGAUGCACAACUAAGUUUCUAUAUUUUUUUGCUUUAAAUAAUCAUUGUUCUCUUUUAUUUCUCAGAUUUUGGAAAACAGUAUCAAAUUUAUCGUAUAUGACUUUUCUUCUUAUAAAAUCCUUAAGAAAAUGAUACUUUGUAAGUGGUAAUUGUUAGAUACAUACGAUGAGAUCAAUCAAUUCUAUUGUUCCAUUAUUGUUUUUUCUCAAUAUUAUACUUCCUCCGUUUCUUUUUACUCGCUACACUUCUUAUUUCAUGGACUCCUAGGCAAUUUUUGGAGAAGAGAGAGGUAGAGAGUAAAAAGAAAAGGGACCCAUGUGGGAGGAGAGAGAUAGAGAGAGUUUAUUGCCCAAAAAAGAAGUGUAGCAAGUAAUGUGGAACUUCCCAUAAUGGAAAGUGUAGCGAGUAAAAAGAAACGGAGGAAGUAUGUUAUUUUUUAUGGAGCCUCUUCAUAGAGCUCAAUUGAAUCCUAUGAAAUUUCGACUUGUGAUGGAAAAAACGAGUGUUUCAAACCUUUGAUUCUAAGCAGAAAAGUGUAAUUAGACUAGUCAUGUUAACCUUUUUCACAAGUUGAAUUAAAAUGAAAUAUCAAAUGAUCUUUGAUGAGAAAGAAGUCUCCAACUUAACGUUGCUCUAUAGGUGAUAAAAUGCAUUAAUGUAAUUUAUGGAUAGAUUUUAAAAUGAAGGCAACAACCUUUGAGUUUGUUUUUUUAAUGUUAACAAUGUUAAAAUCAUGUUAACACAAAUAUAAUCUCAUGAAAUGUUGUUUUUGAAAAAUUAUACUCUAUAUCUAUGAUUAUAGAAAAAUCAAACUUUUAGCCAUUCGCAACGAACAAGCAAACCUUUUAGUUAUUCUUAAAUAAUGUAACUUUUAUCAAAAAAUUCUCUAAAUGGGUAAAAAUCAGAUGUAACCUAAUACACAGGUUGUCUGAGAUACUUGUCACAAUUUAAUUGAUUAGUUUUUAAUUUUUGUUGAAUUCAAAAAACAAUUUUUUUUUCUCUCUUCCUCAUCUCCGUCCACCACUACUGAGCUCUUCCUCAUCCCACCCCACCCCACCACUACUACCUUACUUACCGAAAAACCCUCGUCCCUAGUCCCUUACUCCAAAAUCACCACCUCUUCCCUACCCCACAACCCAAAAAAAUGUAGACCAAACUCUCCUCUUCUCACUUCUACCCUCCUCCACAACCCCACCAUCACUACCUUCUUAGCUUCCACUCUUUUACGAACCACCAUCACCACCUUCUUCUUUCUCUUUCACCAACACUCACCCACCUUCUCGCUCCAUGAACAACCCCAUGAAACACGAACGACCCCCACAAAAACCACUCAAUCAUCACCCAAUACACCACCCCACAUAACAUGAACCACCUUCCCUUAACGCGAACCAUCGCAUCUACCACGACACGCACCCCCACAAAACUCACACUGUACCAAACAUAUGAUGGGUUUCGAGAUUAAGGGCUUAGAGGAUGAGUUUAGGUGGUUUUAGUGAUUGGAUGGGUGGGUUUAAGGGAAGUGUGGGCAAGUUUCGCUGGUUUAAGGGGUGGGGUGGGUGGGUUUUGGUAGUUUCAGAGAUGGGUGGGGUAAUAAGUUUCAGUGGUCUAAGGGAUGGGGGAGGGGUGGGUAGGUUUGGCUGAUUUCAGGGAAGGGGAAGGAGACGGGGUGGGGAAGGGGUAGUGAACGAGGAGGGAGUGAGAGUAUGAUCUUUUUUCUUUUUUUGCAAUUUUUUUUUUAACUUCUUUCACAGGUUACCACUCAAUUUGACUUAGUGUAGGAAUUUUAGUAUAAAGGAUGCAUUAUUUCGGAAUAACUAAAAUGUUUGCUUAUUCGUUACGAAAGGCCAAAAAUUUGCAUUAAUAAAAUCAAAAAAAUCCAAUAACUUUCAACACAUAGAACACACUUUUUAAGAGCCAUGGUAAAACCAUUUGAUCAUAAAAGCAAUAAAGAUAGAUAUAAGAUUUUUUUUUUCUUAAAAUAACAAUAAAGAUGGUUAUAACAAAGGACAUUUUUUAAAAAACAAUAAAGAUUGGUAUAAGAAAAGGCUUUAGGAUUUCUUCUUCUAUGGGUUUCAUUAAAUUGGUGUUUUUUUGAUGCUCCAAUAAUUUCGUAUUGCAUGUGGAAAGCGUGAAUUGGGAUUUUAGUGGAAUGAAGUCCAACUUAGUUAUUACCUUAUAAUGAAUUUAAUUGGAGGAUUGUUUAGGUGUUUGGUGGUUCAUUUAAAACUCCCCCUUCUAUAAUUCCAUUUUUUAUGAUAUGUUAGUAUGUAAUUUUUCCACUUGGGGAGUUUACAUUAUGAGGGUUUUUAGGUAUGUUUAAACUUUUUUAGAAGUUGAAAAUCUACAUUCUAAAACUGUUGAACUAAUUAAUUUUUUUCGGGUUUCUCUCUUGUUUGCUUUCACCUUUGUAUUCCAUUUUUGGUUUUUAUUUUAUCGUAUUUUGCUAGGGAAGGUAGUAAAUACUUCUAUAUUGAAAAAUAAUGUUUAGCUAUUAACUAAUUUUGUUCUCUAUGUUUUUUGUUGGUUUGUAAUAGAUGUAACAAAGUCUUUAAAAAGUUUUGUUUUUUAUUCUCAUUUAUGUUUUUUAAGAACUGUACACAACUUGUCUUGGAUCUAAAUUUUGCUGGGAAAAUGAACAUGAUCCAUUAUGCUUAGCUUCCAUGCUACAAUGUGUAUGGUUAAGUCCACUAGCUUGUAAAUUUUAGUUGGUUUAUGUAUUCAAUAUAAAAAUUGCCUCUAAAAGGAGAGAGGUUCUAUCAUUUGGAGAUUAGACUAUAUGGACAUUAAUGAGUA